GCCGGGGUGGCGGAACUGGCAGACGCAGGGGACUUAAAAUCCCCCGGUCGUAAAAGACCGUACCGGUUCGAUUCCGGUCCUCGGCACCA
rnacentral:tRNA from 1 species